UAUAAGCAAUCCAUCUCAACAUUGCAAUAUCUGACGUUGAACAGUUAAUAAUCAUUCCAAGCAAUGGCAAGCAAUCUGUUUCAAUUACUACUACUGCCCCAAUCAAAUAGUCUUUUUCAGCUUUCAUAGCCGAAACGACUCCCCAAAGUUCUCUUUUGACUUGCGAAUAUGCACGCUGAUGAAUACUUAAAACUUUAGCCCCAAAUCGAACUGCAAAUCUACUCCCAUUCGAAUCAUCUUGAUCCACAGCCCAUCCAACGACAAUUGGACUAGCGUCUACAGUAAGAAUCACUGGUCUAUUGCACUUAUAAUCAACCUUCCCCAAUAUUGGAGGUGACAUCAAUAAUUUCUUCAAUCUUUACAUUGCCUGAAUAUGCCUUUCUUUCCAUUCAAAUCGGUAACCUUUGCGUAACAGUUCAUAUAAUGGAUCCGCUAUGUGAACAAAAUGAGGGAUCCAGAUUCGAUAAAAUACACAUGCACCCAAAAACCUGCGAACCUCUGUUAAAGAACCACAAUCCUCUUUCAUCCUUCCAAUUGCAUCAACUUUAGUCGAAUCUGGUUUCUCCGUAAGAUCCGAUAUCNNNNNNNNNNNNNNNNNNNNNNNNNNNNNNNNNNNNNNNNNNNNNNNNNNNNNNNNNNNNNNNNNNNNNNNNNNNNNNNNNNNNNNNNNNNNNNNNNNNNNNNNNNNNNNNNNNNNNNNNNNNNNNNNNNNNNNNNNNNNNNNNNNNNNNNNNNNNNNNNNNNNNNNNNNNNNNNNNNNNNNAACAUCAUCCAGAAAAAGGCAUAGUCUUUUUCGGAAUAAAAUCUCUCAAUACCUUAUUCAUCCCAUUCAUCAUAUGCGCAACUGAGUUGGUCGCGCCUUGAGGAAGAGUGCACAUUCUAACCAAUCCAAGCGGUGUCAUCAUCGUUGUCAUAUCUCUACUUCCUUCGGCAAGUUGAAAUUGAUCAUAACCUGAAUACAAAUCACCCAUUGAAUAGAUCGCCCUUCCAGCAAACGCCUCAGCAAAUUCAUCCACAAUAGGUCCAAUUCCUGCAUUCUUGAUAGUUACAGCAUUCACCGGCUGCAUAUCUUGAAUAAACCGUAGUGACCCAUUCUUCUUAGGUACCGUAAACCAUCGAUUAGAAUACGGUGCAAAUGAAGGUUCUAAUAUUUUCAUCUUUAUCUUUUCUUUCAAUAGUUCCACCAAUUUAGGUAAAUGUGCCCUCGGUACUGGAAUCGGUCUUAGAUUCCAAGGUACAUGCGGUACAGUGAAGAUAACCAUAGGUGUUAUAAUAUUUGGAUCCACACACCCAAUUUCAUGAGAUUCGAAGGCAAACGAUCUACCUUGUUUAGCCAACAUCUUUUAGAACCAAGUAAUUUCCUCCGGCAAUAAAGAACCAUUAGAACCAAUCUUCAAUUCUUCAAAAGUCUCUUUAGUAAACUGAUGUCCAAUACUCAUUGGAUCUCUUAAACUUGCUUCUUUUGAUGCUUCUCCCAUUUGUUCUUUCGAAUCUUCUGGUAAUGGUCCGGCAACAGACUUUACCUUCUUAUCUGCCGUUUUAUAUCUCGUCUCUACUGUGACUUCUGGUGCUUGAAAAGAUUCAAGCAUGGUAUAAACCUCUCUCGAAUGAAUCUCAACAAUCUUAUCAUUAUUCCCUAACCCAAUAGAUGUAAUCAAUUCCAAUGAAUCUUCCAGCCCAUUUUCUUCAUAAACACCCAAAAUCCUCUCAUCAUCUUGCAAUGUACCUAUCUUGCGUAACUGUCCUUCAAUAUCAUAUAAUCUUUUUCUUUCUUUUCUUUUAAAAUCAUCAACUUUCUUAUACUUAAUAUUUCCAUUCUCCAAUAUACCAAUAAAACUUGCAUCAAAGGCACCUUCAUCUCGCGAGAGUACCUCCUCUUUUGUACCUCCAUAAUCUCGCUUUACAGUGGUACCUCCCCAAAAUCCUUAAAUCCUUCAACAAUCUUUGGCAAUGGUUUCUCCCUCAACCUAUCUCGAUUCCGUUUAUGGUUAGGAGGUACUGUUAGAAAUUGUACAGCUUUCCUUUCAUCUUCGCUCCGUACCCUUGCAUAAGCAGAACCAUCGUCAAGUACCUUUGUUUCCAUCCGUGUUGCCGUGAUAUAAGGUUGUUCUAAAAUCAACGGAUAAGACGUUGUAUCUUCAACGAAGAAAUGUUGCUCCGUCGCAACAUCCCCAAUCCGAAUUUUGACAUCUGGACAAGCUCUAUAUAAUUCGCCUCGUGUAUUAUUAGCUGCUCGUAUUGCCCAUCCAUGUUCCAUAUCAAUUGGCCAUUUUUGCUUCUUAUAAAGAUCUUUAGACAUGAGAUUUAUUUCAGAACCAUGGUCCACCAAGGCAACUAUUGGUUCUUCUAUAUCUCCUACCUUCACCAAUACCUCAGUAGUUGCCCUUGCCCAAUGCUUUCGAGUAUAAUGGCUCAAAGUUUCCAUUUCCUUGUCACUAGAAUCUUCGAAAUGUACUCGCUGAUUAUACCCAUUCUUUUCAUUUGUUAGUUGCUUGUAACGAAUAUCAACCUCUUCUUCAUCUCUACAUAAUCUUGCAUCAAUAGCACGACUUAUUCCAGUUUCGCUCAUUAACUGCCUCUUUCGCUUAAUGCUGUCAAUGAUAACAUCAUGAAACUCCUUCUUUGCAAUUCCCAAGACUUCUUUCAAUGUGAAUUCCACCUUAGCGUUUAAUAUACGUUCUUCCAACACCCCUUUCAAAUUUGUUGCCGCUUCAAUGUCAGAAAGUAGCUUAUAAGCAAUUGAUUUGCCCUUAUCUUUUGUCUCCGUUGGUUUUUCUCCCAAUGAUGCUGAGGUAUCCUUUACAGGCAAUUCUUGUGAAGCUGCCUCCCGAGCCUUGUCUCCUCGACUUUGCCUCUUAAAAGAAUUUCCUUCUCUAGUAUCAUCAAAAUUUCCUCGUCUUUUUUCUUCCAUCAAAGCUUCAUGUUGGCUCUUAGCAAUAUAUGCAUGAACUGAAAGAGACUCAACAGGAUCCUCCCAACCUGUUCUUCCUCGUUUUGUAGCUGCGGUUCUCAAUAACGCUUCUCGAGGUAAUUUCCCUUCUUGCAUUGUAGAAACGGCAGAAGCCCAAAACUCACUAGUUUCCGUACUUCCACCAAUUUCAUCAUCUACUCUAGCACCAUAACUUGCACUUUCUUGUACUACUGUUUCAUGCUCUUUUAGGUAAUCUUGAACCAAUGCUCUCAUUUUUUCCUUGCCAAAAUUGGUUUGAAGAAGAUCCUCCUUAUCUUUCAAUGCUAUCUUCCCAUCUUUCCAGCAAAUAAUUCCCUGUCGUAUCAUGUUAUUAAAUUCAUUGCAAUCUUUUCUAGUGUGUGAAGCAUCAUCACACCAAAUGUAUCUUUGUACAUAUCCUUAUUUUAAAAUAUUUUUCGAAUUGUUUAUAGAAGUAUUCUCUUCAAGUCUUGCCAAUUUGAUUUGAAGAUCUCCCAUUCCUCGUAUAAUUUCUUCCAUACCCAUAUCUUCUUUCUUUGACAAGGAUGUCGAAGGUUGAACUGUAGGCAUUGUCGGUGGUGUUGAACGUACUGGAGCUUUGGGUGCUUGUACUGUUUUCGGAAUAUUGCUCCUAUCCUUCCUCCUUUCUUUUUUUGUAAGCAACCCCACCGCAUCUUCAACGUUCUUCCACUUCGUUGUCAAUCCUUCAUCUUCUUCUUUGUCUUCAAGAAGGAGUUCUAAUUUCCCUUGCAAUUCUCUAUCAGCAGCUUGAAGAAAUAGAUCAACUUUGUUCGGCUCCAAUGUCAAUUUUUCUACCUUCGAUAAUUGAGAGUAAUGCCUCUCAAAUUCCCUUAGUAGCUCUGUUGCUUGCAAAUUCUUAUUGGGCCGUUCAAUCCAUCCCAGAAACAGCUUCUUAGAAACGCGAUCAGCAUCUUCCAAGAAAUAUUCGUCUUUCAAUGCAUGUGAAAAAUCCUCCCAUGAAUUCCCACAACGAUCCGUAAUCGAUGUAAUGUGGUCCCUUAUCUCCGGUAUCGUGGCAAGUCCAAAUAGUGCAACCAUUUUCUUCUUAGAAACCCGAUUUAAUUCCAUUUCACGAACAUAACAUCUUAAAUACCUUGAAAUAUUCCUCCCAUCAAAUUGAUCAAUUUUAUUGACCACUGCUUACAAUGCUUUGGUUGCCAAAGCUUCCUUUCGAUCAUUGCUUUGCUGUUGCUGCAUUGACAAUGAGAAGGCUUGAAACAAACUAGCAAUAGACGGAUCCAUGUGCAUACCUUGUCCUUUAGAAGACUCCCCAACAGAAACUUCUUCCAAAAAUCCUUCAAAAUUUUAAUUUUCGUUUUCCAUAAUAAAAAGAUAAAAUCAACCGAAAUCCAAUACCUUCUACCUCAAGCUUUCACGUCGGGUUCACCACUUAUGUCGUAUUACGUGCUUUCCUGCUCGAGAACGCGUCGGGCGUUUGGCUGUAGAAGGUAGUAUGGAGAUUUGCCGAUAGUCAAGCAGUCUAUCAGUUUUUGACUGCUGGAAUAUAAACGACUACAACAAUGUACCGUAUAUCUAUACAGAUGCUCUUCGACUGCUUGUCGAAGUCUUUUUUUUUUUUUUUUUUUUGCCCCAGCCGAUAGGUCUCUAGACGUUACAGAGAACCCCGAACAACCCAAACUGUUAAUCUUCAAUACCCCUUUGUACUUACGAUCUUGUAUCCACUGACUGUCCUGUUAGAUUAACCCAAUAAAUUUCAUUCACUCCGCAUAUUCAAUCCUAUAGACACCCCUUUAAUCCUUCAAUCACAGAUGUAACUCGAUUUUACAAAACAGUCAAGAGUAUUCAAACCCACUUCAUUUUAAAAUCUCGAUUCACCAUUAGAAUACUGACUUCAGCAGCGAUUGCCUCAGUCUUCCCAAAACUCUACGAAGAAGAAAAAUCCAAAUUCUAUGUCUUUCCUUCCCCGACCCGAAGCAUGAAGCUCCUCUCUCUAAUUCCCUUGAUCUUCAAAAAACCUCCAAUGAAAAUCGAACUGGUAACCUUGCAAAAGCUUGAAAACUCGCUCCCCCCCCGAUUCCCCGAAAAAAAUCAGCCCCCCCCUCAAAACUAUAUCCCNNNNNNNNNNNNNNNNNNNNNNNNNNNNNNNNNNNNNNNNNNNNNNNNNNNNNNNNNNNNNNNNNNNNNNNNNNNNNNNNNNNNNNNNNNNNNNNNNNNNCUUAUCCUCUGAAUUUCUUAAUCUUCCGUCUUAGAUCCCGAAUUGGCUCCCACCGUCAAGCUUGGAUCCGAAAUUGUCUCUCGCAGUCAAGGCUUAGAUCCAAAAUUGGCUCUCACCGUCAGAGCUUUUUCCUCCGUUUUUACCUUUAAGAAAUCCAUUUACCGAAAAUAAUGUUUCCUGAAAUGGUUUACAAAACAAGACAGCCUGAAACAGAAUCGAAACCUCGUACUCGGGUCCACAUUGAGACGCCCGACCAAUUCAGGACUCAUAUUGGAUAACAGUCCAGUAGUAAGAUCCAGAUUUUUCCGUAAUUGGAUCAAAUUGGUCCUUCGCGUCAGAUUGGCUGAGGCCCGUAGUAAGGCCUCGAUUUUUCCAUAAUUAGACUGCAUUGGAUUGCCCGGCCAAUUCAAGUCUCAUAUUGAGUAAGAAGACCUGGAUUGAAUUCUUAAAAUUGGUUCCAAUUGGCUCUUCGAACCAGGCUCACCCGUCGUGUGAAUUGGUCCUUUCUUUUCCUGUUGACUUCCGUUAUUGGAAUCGAACGGAGCAUUUCAGUAUGCCCCGGCUGACCGUAACGGGGUGACUGAACCUGGCCACUCAAUAUUUGCACUAAAGUAGGUCGUUGCUCCCAAUAUUCGAGGUAACUGAAUAUUAAUAAAAGUCCCUUUUCUUUAUAUUUUCACGGUAUACUCGUGUUACAACACGACAACGUAGUCCCUAGUUAGAUAGUAUAUAUAGAGACAAGAGUGAAGGCUUCUUCACUCUUAUCAUUUCCUAUCUUGCUUCUAGUUUAGUUUCAAGGGUCUCUAGUUUUAUUGUCUUUUGGAAAUAGCCAUUCCAGUUUCUAUUUCAAUAUAUAUAUUUGUUUAUAAAUAUUUUGUUACCUCUCUUUGAGUGAAGCCUCACUUGUCUGAAUUGUUUUUUCAUCGAGUUCUUAUCCUUGACAGAUUGACAAGAGUACACCUACAAUAUCAGAGCUUUAUCUAAUCUUGAUUAAGAGUGGAUUACCCCUUUUUCAUAAUAAGAUAUAAGCAUAUUAGAAGUUGCGGAUUACCUUCUUCUAAACUGAUAUUGUCCUUAUCAUUUUCUUUGUCCUCAAGUCCUCUCUUCUAUUUCUCUUGAGCGAUAUUAGACGUCCUCUCUCUUCUAAGUGUUAUCAUGGCAGAACUUCUCGAAAUGAAGAGUGCAAUGGCACAAAUGCAAGAAAAAUUGAGGGAAUUAAUGCUUGCGAUGCAUCAACUCAAUUUACCACUACAAGGAGCAACAAGAUUGACAAGUAGUGAAGAUAGAGAAAUGGUUGGAGUUGCUUCAAUACCUGCACCAAACCAUGUCCUUUCUCCUAUGGUGGAACACCCUUCAAAUGUUAGAGAACCAAGAAUUGCCGUACCCGAGAAGUUUGAUGGCACCAGAUCCAAGUUUCGAGGAUUUAUCAAUCAAGUGCAACUGGUGAUUGAACUUCAAUCCCAAAGCUAUCCAACUCUAGGAUCACAAAUUAGAUUCAUUGGUACGCUUCUUUCAAGUUCAGCACUAUCGUGGUUUUCAUCUUUUCUUGAACGACGAGAUCCAAUAUUGGAUAAUCUAGAGGCUUUUUUGGUGGAGUUUCGAUCCAUGUAUGGAGAGCAUGAUGCAAUUCAGGUUGCAACCAAUAAGAUCCAUAUUUUACGACAAGGCAAUCGAUUAGUAACGUUAUAUGCUUCACAAUUUUAACAACUUGCAACUGAUAUCAAGUGCGAUGAUGCUGCACUUAUUAGCCAAUUUGUAUACGGAUUACAAUAUGAGGUAAAAAAAUUAAUGCUCAACUUACUUGAUCCUCAAACAUUGAGUCAAGCAAUUGACUUUGCUGUGAAGUGUGACAAUCACUUUUUUGAAUUCCGAUCUGAGAACCAUACAAGUCGACCUCAACGUUACUAUAAUUCAAUGGCAAAACCAACAUCUCUUCAAUACAUACAUUCGGAAGUAGAGGAUAUGUAAAUUGAUGCAGUACGUUUCAAAUCUCUUACUGAGCAAGAAAAGACUCGUCAUCGUCAAGAAGGAUUAUGUUUAUAUUAUAGAGAAUCAAAGCACACUGAUCAACAUUGUCCAAAGAAACGAUGCAAUCACAAAAUGACGAGUAUGGCUAUGAAAAAAGAUAAUAUGUCGGAAAACGAGUUUGUCCAGCUACAAUAGGGACCAUUGUCAUAUUACGUACUUUUUUGCUCGAGAAUGCGUGAGGCGUUUGGCUGUAGAAGGUAGUAUGGAGAUUCGCCAAUAGUCAAGCAGUCUAUCAGUUAUUGACUGUUGGAAUAUAAACGACUAUAAGAAUAUACUGUAAAUCUAUACGGAUGCCCUUCAACUGCUCGCCGAAGUCUUUUUUGUCCCAGCCGGUAGGUCUCUAGACGUUACAGAGAACCCCGAACAACCCAAACUGCUAAUCUAUGAUACCGCUUUAUACUCACGAUCUUGUAUCCACUGACUGUCUCAUUAGAUUAAUCCAAUAAAUUUCAUUCCUUCAGCAUACUCAAUCCUAUAGACACCCUUUUAAUCCAUCAUCACAGACGUAACUCGAUUUCACAAAAUAGUCAAGAGUAAUCAAACCUACUUCAUUAAAAUUCCCGAUUCACCAUUACAAUACUGACUUCAGCAACGAUUGCCUCAGUUUUCCCAAAAUCCUAUAUAGAAUAAAAAACCCAAUUCUCUAUCUUUUUUCUCCACCCGAAGCAUGAAGCUAGCUCUCCCCGAUCCUUCACAAAAAAUCUUCCAUAAAAAAAAACCCCUCUCUCCCCCCCCCUCUUUUUUUAACCUUAAUUCUGAAUUUCUUCAAUCUUCCGUCUAGGAUCCAAAAUUGGCUCCAGACGUCAGACCUUAGAUCCAAAAUUGGCUCUUGCCAUCAAGGCUUAGAUCCGAAAUUGGCUCUCGUCGUUAGAGCUUUUUCCUCCAUUUUUAUCUUUAAGAGAUCUAUUUAUCAAAAACAACGUUCCCUGAAACGGCACAGAGAAUAGGACAGCCUGAAACAAAAUUGAAACCCCGUACUCGGGUCCACAUUGAGUUGCCCGACCAAUUCAGGUCUCAUAUUGGCUAAGAAUUCAGUAGUAAGAUCCAGAUGUUCCCGAAAUUGGAUCAAAUUAGUUCUUCACGUCAGAUUGGCUAAGGAUGUAGUAAGACCUGGAUUUUCUCGUAAUUAGACUACAUUGGGUUGCCCGACCAAUUCAGGUCUCAUAUUGGGUAAGAAGACCCAGAUUGGAUUCUUGAAAUUGGAUCCAAUUGGCUCUUUGAACCAAGCUCAUCCGUCAAGUGAAUUGGUCCUUUCUCUUCCUGCUGACUCCCGUUAUUAGAAUCGAACGGAGAAUUUCAUAUGGCCCCGGCUAACUGUAACGGGGUGACUCAACCUGGCCACUCAGUAUUUGCAUUGGAGUUGGUCGUUGCUCCCAAUAUUCGAGGUAACUGAAUAUUAAUAAAAGUCCCCUUUCUUGAUAUUUUCACGAUAUACUUGAGUUACAACACGACAUCCACCCCCUCUGAAUCUAUGCAUCCUCCAGUAUACACCAAUUUCUCCAAUUACUCGUUCGAUUCAGAAUAUAUCCUCUACGUCUUUGUCCACUUCGUCUUCGACACAUUCAUUAUCCAAAUCACUUUCAUCUUCUUGCUACGGAAUCUCUAUACCUUCAUUAAGGUCUUCCAUAUUCAUCUCCGCAUGUCUUCGUUUAAAUAUUUUUACUUGCUUCCCUGUAAUUGGUAUUUUCAAUUUUGUACCAUCUAACUCCCGUAAUGAGUAAGUCGCAUUAUCAUGAACAGUUGUUACUACAUAUGGUCCAAACCAACGUUUUAAAAUUUCUGCAAAGUACUAUGUUGAUUAUCCAGACUAUUAUUAUAAACAAGUACCUAGUCACCUUCUUCGAUUGCAUUAGGUCUCAAUCGAUGUUGCUUAUCGAAUCACACCUUAUUUUGUAACCUUCCUCUUUUUAACCUUCCCAAUGCUAUCUGGACAUCUUCCGUUCUUUGCUCCAAUUGUCCAAUCCUAAUAGCCAGAAGUUCUUCUCUUGUCAAUCCAUCUUCCCAUGGUAGCAUACACCAAGUAGGUACCUUUUCUUCAAUCGGCAUAAUUGGUUUUCGACCAAUCAUAAGUUCUACUGGCAUAUAUCCUAUCACCGAACUAUGUGUUGUUCGAUCAGCCCAUAAUGCAAAUGACAAAAGCCGUGGCCACUCUUUAACCUUCCCAUUACAAGCUUUAACUAAUAUUUUCACAAUCGGUGGGUGACCGCAUUCGCUUUUUGCAUUCCCUUCCGGAUUAUAAGCAGUAGUCAGUGAUAGUUUAACUCCACAUCUUUCAAAGAACUUACAAGCUUCUUGUGCAUUUAAUUCUCCACGAUCUGCAGUGAUUUUUCCUACGCAUCUGUAGCGGCAAAUGACAUCUUCAAGCAAAAACCUACAAAUUCCCUCUGUAGAUUUUGUCCUCAAUACUCUUCAUUCUACUUGAUUUGAUAAAUCUUCACGAGCUAAAACCAAAUAUCUCAUCUGCCAUAACCCAACCGGCAUAAUAACCAAAUCAACAACCUAUUUAAAAUGAAUAGCCAGAGGAUACGUAGGAUGAAGACCAUCUCGAUGUCGGAUAUUAGAAUACGAUUGACAGAUUUUACAUGACUCUACAAAUGAGAGUACAUCUCGAUACAUAUUUUUCCACCAAUAUCGUUCCUUGAGUUUAACAAAAGUAGCCGAGAUUCUUCUCUGCCCUGCCCAUAAACUAUCAUGAAACUCCUUUAAUAAUUUUAGUCUUUCUUCCUUUUUGCCUAUCACUCGUUAUGGCAUCCCAAUUCCUUUCUCCGGUCUCUUCCAUAAGAAUCCAUCUCGAAGUAAAAAUCCAUAUGCUUUUUUUCUUAUUUGUUUAAAUUUUUCUGUAGACCAAUUCCCUUGCUUAGUCAAGGUUUUCAAGUAAUGACCAAUAUCCAAUAAUUCUCCUUCGUAAGAUUCUUCAAGAAAUAGCUUGUCUUCUCUGUUGAGAUUUGAUAUUGAAUAGAAUUUCAAUCCGACCUCAUCAAUUUCUUCAAUCAUUUCGUCCUCCCUCUCGUAUCUUGCUCGAGAUAGCAUGUCUGCUACUAAAUUGUCCUUCCCAAUAACAUGCUUAAAUUCUGGAUUUAGUGACUUAAUAUAAGCAAUCCAUAUCAACAUUGCAAUAUCUGGCGUUGAACAGUUAGUAAUCUUUCCAAGCAAUGGCAAGCAGUCUGUUUCAAUUACUACUGCUGCCCCAAUCAAAUUGUCCUUUUCAACUUUCAUAGCCGAAACGACUCUCAAAAGUUCUCUUUUGACUUGCGAAUAUGCACGCUGACGAAUACUUAAAACUUUAGCCCUAAAUCAAACUGCAAAUCUAUUCCCAAUGGAAUCAUCUUGACCCACAGCCCAUCCAAUGGCAAUUAGACUAGCGUCUACAGUAAGAAUCACUGGUCUAUUGUACUUAUAAUCAACCUUCCUCAAUAUAGGAGGUGACAUCAAUAAUUUCUUCAAUCUUUGUAUUACCUGAAUAUGCCUUUCUUCCCAUUUAAAUCGGUAACCCUUGCGUAACAGUUCAUAUAAUGGAUCCGCUAUGUGAGCAAAAUGAAGGAUCCAGAUUCGAUAAAAUACACAUGCAUCCAAAAACCUGCGAACCUCUGUUAAAGAAUCACAAUCCUCUUUCAUCCUUCCAAUUGCAUCAACUUUAAUCGAAUCUGGUUUCUUUCCGUAAAACCCACAUAAAUGUCCAACAAUCACAACCUCUCGCACUCCAAAUACGGACUUCAUACCCGAUAAUGUAAGAUGAACUUCUCCAAGCCGAGUUAAAAUCUUUUCACAAUCUUGUAUA
rnacentral:lncRNA from 1 species